GAAGGUCGAAAGAUUGUAAAGUUCUUUUAUAAAUGAGGAAUAAGCUUUGUAGGAAAUGACAAGGUGAUGACGUUAAUUUAUGAAUAAGCCCCGGCUAAUUACGUGCCAGCAGCCGCGGUAAUACGUAAGGGGCGAGCGUUGUUCGGGAUUAUUGGGCGUAAAGGGUGAGUAGGCGGAUAUGCAAGUCUAUGCGUAAAAUACCACAGCUCAACUGUGGAGCUAUGCUGGAAACUGCAUGACUAGAGUCUGAUAGGGGAAGUUAGAAUUCCUGGUGUAAGGGUGGAAUCUGUUGAUAUCAGGAAGAAUACCAGAGGCGAAGGCGAACUUCUAGGUCAAGACUGACGCUGAGUCACGAAAGCGUAGGGAGCAAACAGGAUUAGAUACCCUGGUAGUCUACGCUGUAAACGAUGCACACUUGGUGUUAAUUGAGAGAUUAGUACCGAAGCUAACGUGUUAAGUGUGCCGCCUGGGGAGUAUGCUCGCAAGAGUGAAACUCA
rnacentral:rRNA from 1 species